GUGGAUAACCUGAAUACCCUAAGCCACCAGAUUCCAUCUGUUCUUGGAGCUAAGCAGGGUCAGGUCUGGUUAGAACAAAGAUGGGUGACCAUCAAUGAAUUUCUGGUGUUAUAGGCU
rnacentral:rRNA from 1 species